GCUACCGUCCUCAUGCCUGUGACAUCUUUGCUUCCAACAUGAUCUGGCGUUGCUUCAUAUGCUACAUAUGUGUGGCACUGACUCUGAAACAACCUUUGAGUCACAUUAACAACAUGCACAGUCGCAGCCCUGACUUCCGCGUCGUGUGCGGGAUUGAUGGUUGUCCAAGUGAGUACAGGGUGUAUAACUCCUUCUACUAUCACGUGAAGCGGACACAUGCGCAUCAUCUUCUCCAAGUUCAAGCGGCAGAAGAGGAAGGACCGACUCGCUACGGUUUACCUGGAGCAGGUGAAAGCACAGCCGUAAACGACCAAAUUUACGCAAGCCCUGUGGCUGAAGCGGAGGGCUCAAGCAUCGUUAUUCCAGCGAUGGCAGCCACCAAGGGUUGAGAGCAGUAUUGGCUCAAGUCCAGGAAGUCUGCAAAGUUGGCUGGCUGAUCCUGGCAACCAGGAUCCAGGACAAAGAGGUCCAGACUGGACCCUCUAUGGCCCAUUCGCCAUAACUUCCAGGACUUCUUGUUCUUCUAUACACUGAAGAUAGUUGUUAAUGACCUUAAUGACCAUAUAAUCACUCAGCUGUAUGACCAUAUCAAAGCCUUCAAGCAAAAGCUCCAGCUGCUUACCAGACAUCUCUCCACAGUCUCAGAGAAGUUGGGUUGAUGGAGGAAGACACACCAAAAUAACAUUCUCAACAAUCUUGUGGUAAAGUUUGACCAUGACUUUGAAGAUUUUCC